rnacentral:rRNA from 1 species
UACGGAGGUCUCAAGCGUUGUUCGGAUUCAUUGGGCGUAAAGCGCACGUAGGCGGCCUCAUAAGUCGGAUGUGAAAUCCCACGGCUCAACCGUGGAAGUGCAUCCGAAACUGCGAGGCUCGAGUAUGGAAGAGGGCCGCAGAAUUCCCGGUGUAGAGGUGAAAUGCGCAGAUAUCAGGAAGAACACCCGUGGCGAAAGCGGCUCUCUGGAACGGUACUGACGCUGAGACGCGAAAGCGUGGGGAGCGAACAGG